rnacentral:rRNA from 1 species
CGAGGCCCCGUAAUCGGAAUGAGUACACUCUAAACCCUUUAACGAGGAUCAAUUGGAGGGCAAGUCUGGUGCCAGCAGCCGCGGUAAUUCCAGCUCCAAUAGCGUAUAUUAAAGUUGUUGCGGUUAAAAAGCUCGUAGUCGAAUUUGUGUCCCGCGCCGCCGGUUCAUCGCUCGCGGUGUCAACUGGCGUGUCCGCGGGACGUCCUGCCGGUGGGCUUAGCUCCGUGCGGGCGGCCCAAUCUCAAUCCCACCGCGGUGCUCUUCACUGAGUGUCGAGGUGGGCCGGCACGUUUACUUUGAACAAAUUAGAGUGCUUAAAGCAGGCUAAAAUAUCGCCUGAAUACUGUGUGCAUGGAAUAAUGGAAUAGGACCUCGGUUCUAUUUUGUUGGUUUUCGGAACCCCGAGGUAAUGAUUAAUAGGAACGGAUGGGGGCAUUCGUAUUGCGACGUUAGAGGUGAAAUUCUUGGAUCGUCGCAAGACGGACAGAAGCGAAAGCAUUUGCCAAAAACGCUUUCAUUGAUCAAGAACGAAAGUUAGAGGUUCGAAGGCGAUCAGAUACCGCCCUAGUUCUAACCAUAAACGAUGCCAGCUAGCGAUCCGCCGACGUUCCUCCGAUGACUCGGCGGGCAGCUUCCGGGAAACCAAAGCUUUUGGGUUCCGGGGGAAGUAUGGUUGCAAAGCUGAAACUUAAAGGAAUUGACGGAAGGGCACCACCAGGAGUGGAGCCUGCGGCUUAAUUUGACUCAACACGGGAAACCUCACCAGGCCCGGACACCGGAAGGAUUGACAGAUUGAGAG